AUUGAACGCUGGCGGCAGGCCUAACACAUGCAAGUCGAACGACUGGCGGACGGGUGAGUUAUGUCUGGGCAACUGCCUGAUGGAGGGGGAUAACUACUGGAAACGGUAGCUAAUCCCUCCUACCAUCAGAUGUGCCUAGUUGGGAUUAGCUGGUUGGUGGGGUAAUGGCUCACCUAGGCGACGAUCCCUAGUUGGUCUGAGAGGAUGACCAGCCACAGUGGAACUGAGACACGGUCCAGACUCCUACGGGAGGCAGCAGUGGGGAAUAUUGCACAAGGGGCGCAAGCCUGAUGCAGCCAUGCGGCGUGUAUGAAGAAGGCCUUCGGGUUGUAAAGUACUUUCAGCGGGGAGGCGGUACCCGCAGAAGAAGCACCGGCUAACUCCGUGCCAGCAGCCGCGGUAAUUC
rnacentral:rRNA from 1 species